UGGACGCCAGUCUGCAUGGAGCCGACCUUGAAAUACCACCCUUUAAUGUUUGAUGUUCUAACGUGGACCCGUAAUCCGGGUUGCGGACAGUGUCUGGUGGGUAGUUUGACUGGGGCGGUCUCCUCCUAAAGAGUAACGGAGGAGCACGAAGGUUGGCUAAUCCUGGUCGGACAUCAGGAGGUUAGUGCAAUGGCAUAAGCCAGCUUGACUGCGAGCGUGACGGCGCGAGCAGGUGCGAAAGCAGGUCAUAGUGAUCCGGUGGUUCUGAAUGGAAGGGCCAUCGCUCAACGGAUAAAAGGUACUCCGGGGAUAACAGGCUGAUACCGCCCAAGAGUUCAUAUCGACGGCGGUGUUUGGCACCUCGAUGUCGGCUCAUCACAUCCUGGGGCUGAAGUAGGUCCCAAGGGUAUGGCUGUUCGCCAUUUAAAGUGGUACGCGAGCUGGGUUUAGAACGUCGUGAGACAGUUCGGUCCCUAUCUGCCGUGGGCGCUGGAGAACUGAGGGG
rnacentral:rRNA from 1 species